CAUCACAUCCAAAUGUCUUAUGAUGGGGUAUGUCUGGUUCUUGACCCGUUAAUAAUUGUGAUAGGGGAUACCUAUGCUCACUAAAUGGCCUGAUGCACAUUAACUUAGGUGCAUGUAAAUUUCGUGUGGCCCAAGAUGUGAAUGGGAGUUUUGACCUCAUAAAUUAUAGUCUAUCAAUCAGCUAUUUGCGUUUUAAAGGAUUUCGGCCAAGCCGUUCUUGGUAUGGACAUGUAUCACAGAAUUGUCCACAAUUACCCUCAUGGACAUACCAUAAUCUUUUAAACGCUUGAGACAUGUAUUCACCAGUAUUAUCUAGACUGAUAGUCUUUAUUAUGAAAAAGGGCUCGUAGCCGUUUUAUUGGUGAUGGCCUAAUGAGUUUC
rnacentral:lncRNA from 1 species